AAUAAGUGCAGUUUAACAGUUCGUCUUAUUUGGAAAAAUUUUAUGAUUAGUAUUUUUAUUAUUAUUAUUAGUUGGUAAAACAUGAAUAGUAGUUUAUGUGUGACUAUUUUUUUAUAUUUUUUUUCAAAUAAGACAGAUGGUUAAACGUUAAAUAUGGAUACCCACGACUAUAUUUAUU
rnacentral:pre_miRNA from 1 species